rnacentral:rRNA from 1 species
AUACAACUUUCAGCAACGGAUCUCUUGGCUCUCGCAUCGAUGAAGAACGCAGCGAAAUGCGAUAAGUAAUGUGAAUUGCAGAAUUCAGUGAAUCAUCGAAUCUUUGAACGCACCUUGCGCUCCUUGGUAUUCCGAGGAGCAUGCCUGUUUG